rnacentral:rRNA from 1 species
UACGUAGGGAGCAAGCGUUGUCCGGAAUCAUUGGGCGUAAAGCGCGCGUAGGUGGCCUCAUAAGUCCGCUGUGAAAGUCAAAAGGCUCAACCUUUGAAAGCCGGUGGAUACUGUGGGGCUAGAGUACGGAAGAGGCGAGUGGAAUUCCUGGUGUAGCGGUGGAAUGCGCAGAUAUCAGGAGGAACACCAAUAGCGAAGGCAGCUCGCUGGGACGUAACUGACACUGAGGCGCGAAAGCGUGGGGAGCGAACAGG